rnacentral:lncRNA from 10 species
GCAGGGUGGGGAAGGGGCGGGUCCAGAAAGACGGGAGCUUCCGAGGCCGCCUCCACAGGAAGGGAAAGGGGCGGGAGCUUGGAGGGGGCGGGUCCAGAAUGGCGGGAGCUUCCGGGGCCGCCGCCUCUGGAAGGAAAAGGGGAGGGAACGUAGAGGGGGAGGGAACGUAGAGGGGGCGGGACCAGGAACGAGAGCGCGUGGGUUUCUGGGGUGUCCGCCGGCGCCCCCUGGGAUUGGGGAGAGAGGGAAGGGCUGAGGCUCACGGUUUCGGAGUAAGGGGAGCGGCCCGGCGAGCCGCCGCGCCUGGGUUAAGAGCUGCAGGAGGAACGUGGCUUCACGAGUUCGGCUCCUCGGCCAUCCACAGCCCGGGCCUCCGCCUCUGCUGACCUGGCGGCUGUAGAAGGCAGAAGAGGCCUGAAACCUGCAGCAGGAGCACCACCCUGCCCCGCGGCCCCGCGCGCCCUCCAGUGGCGUCAUCCCAUCCGCUUUGAUCUCGACUGGCGCGCCUACCCUCGGCAGCGGCACCCCUUGGGAGCGCAAUCGCGGGCAGACUCCGAGGACCCAUCUUGCGAAAGUUCUGCGAGGUCCUGACUUUAAGGGAACAGGGGUCGUACUUGGGCCAUGGCCGGAAGGGAGAUCCAACAUCCAUGACGACGUCUACCCCCCAGCCUGCCCCUUCAGAGCCCAGUCUGUGCCUUGCGUCAAAGUCAAGCAAGGGCUCUUGUAGGGCACCGAGCCCCAGCCAAAAUCACCCUUUUCUUUCAGAUAGCCCCCACUUACCCCCAGAAACCUUACUCUCUCCCUCGGGAGCAGGUGGGAAGUGAAAGGCCGGGGGGGCUGUUUCUGCUCUGCUUGUCUGUACCUGUGGCCCUUGAGUGGAAAACCCCGCCGCUGGACCAAAGACCUGGAGGCUCCAGGAUUGCCCACUUGGGACCCUGACUAUGAAGGGUCAAGAUAGCCCAUUCUGCCCCAGCACUCAGAGCCCUAUUACCAAGGCCCCUACUCCAAGAAUCCACCAUCAAAACCGGGGCCCUGCCAGUGCCUUCCCAGUGUUCAGGCCUAGGGAAGAAUAGCCCCAUUAUGCCUGUUACUCCUGAUCCUUCUGCAGUCUCUCUCUUUGUGACCCCAUGGCCUUUGCUGCUAUGUCUGCCCUGGCCCCACAGAGUGCCAGGUCAGAGCCACCCUGGCCUACAUAGCAGGGCCCCGGUUCACAGGCUAAAACCUGGGCCUCCUGCCAGGCUGCAACUCCCAGCUGCACACCGCAACCUGAGACAUCUCAGCAUAUUCUAGGAACUAGUAAUGGGGACGCUUCCGACUCGCUGGGGAAGGGAGAUGAGGGCCUCUAGCUCUCCAUGCCCAGUCUCUCAUCAUCAAAGUCAUUUAAGGCCCCAGCGACCCCAGGGUUCAGCAUCACUCCUCUGCUCGCUGAGAUAGACACAUACCUGAUUGCCUCCUUUGGAGAGGCUUGUCAGAAACAAAAUAAUGCAACCAUUUGUCUCUCAGCUACCUGCGACCUGGAAGCCCCCUCCCCACUUCGAGUUGUCCCCGCCUUUCUGGACGGAACCAACGUACUUCUUACAUAUAUCGAUUGAUGUCUCAUGUCUCCUUAAAAUGUAUGAAAACAAACUGUGCCCUGACCACCUUGGGCACAUGUCGCCAGGACUCCCUGAGGCUGUGUCACGGGCACGCAUCUUCAACCUUGGCAAAAUAAAGUUUCUGAAUUAACUGAGA